GACGAACGCUGGCGGCGUGCUUAACACAUGCAAGUCGAGCGGUAAGGCCCCUUCGGGGGUACACGAGCGGCGAACGGGUGAGUAACACGUGAGCAAUCUGCCCAUCACAUCGGGAUAACUCCGGGAAACCGAAGCUAAUACCGAAUACGACCACCUCCGGCAUCGGAUGGUGGUGGAAAGUUCCGGCGGUGAUGGAUGAGCUCGCGGCCUAUCAGCUUGUUGGUGGGGUAACGGCCCACCAAGGCUUCGACGGGUAGCCGGCCUGAGAGGGUGACCGGCCACACUGGGACUGAGACACGGCCCAGACUCCUACGGGAGGCAGCAGUGGGGAAUAUUGGACAAUGGGCGAAAGCCUGAUCCAGCAACGCCGCGUGAGGGAUGACGGCCUUCGGGUUGUAAACCUCUUUCAGCAGGGACGAAGCGCAAGUGGCGGUACCUGCAGAAGAAGCACCGGCCAACUACGUG
rnacentral:rRNA from 1 species